GAUGAAGAACGUAGCGAAAUGCGAUACUUGGUGUGAAUUGCAGAAUCCCGUGAACCAUCGAGUUUUUGAACGCAAGUUGCGCCCGAAGCCAUUAGGCCGAGGGCACGCCUGCCUGGGUGUCACACGUCGUUGCCCCCCCAUCUACUCCUUCGGGAUUGCGGGGGGCGGAUGAUGGCCUCCCGUGCGCCUCGUCGCGCGGUUGGCAUAAAUGCCAAGUCCUCGGCGACGCACGCCACGACAAUCGGUGGUUGCGAAACCUCGGUUGCCCGUCGUGUGCGGUCGUCGCGCAUCGAGGGCUCGAAAAAAUUGCCGGGCUCCGGCUCGGCUUUCAACGCGACCCCAGGUCAGGCGGGGUUACCCGCUGAAUUUAAGCAUAUCAAUAAGCGGAGGA
rnacentral:misc_RNA from 1 species